GAUGAACGCUGGCGGCGUGCCUAAUACAUGCAAGUCGAGCGGACAGACGAGGAGCUUGCUCCUCUGCCGUUAGCGGCGGACGGGUGAGUAACACGUAGAUAACCUACCUAUAAGACUGGGAUAACUUCGGGAAACCGGAGCUAAUACCGGAUAAUAUAUUGAACCGGAUGGUUCAAUAGAGAAAGAGGGUUUUGCUGUCACUAAUAGAUGGUUCCGCGUCGGAUUAGCUAGUUGGUAAGGUAACGGCCUACCAAGGCGACGAUGCGUAGCCGACCUGAGAGGGUGAUCGGCCACACUGGAACUGAGACACGGUCCAGACUCCUACGGGAGGCAGCAGUGGGGAAUCUUGCACAAUGGGCGAAAGCCUGACGGAGCAACGCCGCGUGAGUGAUGAAGGUCUUCGGAUCGUAAAGCUCUUUUAUUAGGGAAGAACAAAUGUGUAAGAAACUAUGCCCGUCUUGACGGUACCUAAACAGAAAGCCACGGCUAACUACGUG
rnacentral:rRNA from 1 species